GACGAACGCUGGCGGCGUGCUUAACACAUGCAAGUCGAACGGAAAGGCCCUGCUUUUGUGGGGUGCUCGAGUGGCGAACGGGUGAGUAACACGUGAGUAACCUGCCCUUGACUUUGGGAUAACUUCAGGAAACUGGGGCUAAUACCGGAUAGGAGCUCCUGCUGCAUGGUGGGGGUUGGAAAGUUUCGGCGGUUGGGGAUGGACUCGCGGCUUAUCAGCUUGUUGGUGGGGUAGUGGCUUACCAAGGCUUUGACGGGUAGCCGGCCUGAGAGGGUGACCGGCCACAUUGGGACUGAGAUACGGCCCAGACUCCUACGGGAGGCAGCAGUGGGGAAUAUUGCACAAUGGGCGGAAGCCUGAUGCAGCAACGCCGCGUGCGGGAUGACGGCCUUCGGGUUGUAAACCGCUUUCGCCUGUGACGAAGCGUGAGUGACGGUAAUGGGUAAAGAAGCACCCGCUAACUACGUGCCAGCAGCCGCCGUGAUACGUAGGGUGCGAGCGUUGUCCGGAUUUAUUGGGCGUAAAGGGCUCGUAGGUGGUUGAUCGCGUCGGAGGUGUAAUUCUUGGGGCUUAACCCUGAGCGUGCUUUCGAUACGGGUUGACUUGAGGAAGGUAGGGGAGAAUGGAAUUCCUGGUGGAGCGGUGGAAUGUGCAGAUAUCAGGAGGAACACCAGUGGCGAAGGCGGUUCUCUGGGCCUUUCCUGACGCUGAGGAGCGAAAGCGUGGGGAGCGAACAGGCUUAGAUACCCUGGUAGUCCACGCUGUAAACGGUGGGUACUAGGUGUGGGGUCCAUUCCACGGGUUCCGUGCCGUAGCUAACGCUUUAAGUACCCCGCCUGGGGAGUACGGCCGCAAGGCUAAAACUCAAAGGAAUUGACGGGGCCCCGCACAAGCGGCGGAGCAUGCGGAUUAAUUCGAUGCAACGCGUAGAACCUUACCUGGGUUUGACAUGGAUCGGGAGUGCUCAGAGAUGGGUGUGCCUCUUUUGGGGUCGGUUCACAGGUGGUGCAUGCCUGUCGUCAGCUCGUGUCGUGAGAUGUUGGGUUAAGUCCCGCAACGAGCGCAACCCUUGUUCACUGUUGCCAGCACGUUAUGGUGGGGACUCAGUGGAGACCGCCGGGGUCAACUCGGAGGAAGGUGGGGAUGACGUCAAGUCAUCAUGCCCCUUAUGUCCAGGGCUUCACGCAUGCUACAAUGGCUGGUACAGAGAGUGGCGAGCCUGUGAGGGUGAGCGAAUCUCGGAAAGCCGGUCUCAGUUCGGAUUGGGGUCUGCAACUCGACCUCAUGAAGUCGGAGUCGCUAGUAAUCGCAGAUCAGCAACGCUGCGGUGAAUAAAUUCCCGGGGCU
rnacentral:rRNA from 1 species